rnacentral:rRNA from 1 species
UCUGAAUCUGCGAACGGCUCCGCAAACCAGUUGUAAACUAUAGCAAACACGCCUUCGUGGGGGGUCGCAAGGCCUUUCGCGUUGGUUAUAAGGAUAACCCUGGUAAUUCUGAGGCUAAUACUUGCUCGCAUAACCUGGCCGCCGUUCAUUCGGUGGUUGGGGACCGUGUGGGUUAACGUAAUAUGAUGGGAGUGAACGCACGGUACGACCGCCAUACCAAACUGUCUGAAAGAAGCCGACCUAACGGGAGGCGGGCGUCAUGUCGGGGCGGCUUUUGCUGUGUGCUUCUGACCUAUCAACUAGAUGGCAGCGUAAAGGACAUGCUAUGGU